rnacentral:rRNA from 1 species
GUCAACAGCCACACCACCCUGAACACACCCAGUCUCAUCUGAUCUCGGAAGCUAAUCAGGAUCUGUCCUGGUUAGUACUUAAAUGGGAGAAUCCUAAGUAUGACU